rnacentral:tRNA from 1 species
GGGCCAUUAACUCAGUUGGUUUAGAGUGUUACCUUGACAGGGUAGAAGUCACUGGUUCGAGUCCAGUAUGGCCCA